rnacentral:rRNA from 1 species
AAUAGAUACCCGGGUAGUCCACGCCCUAAACGAUGUCUACUAGUUGUCGGGUCUUAAUUGACUUGGUAACGCAGCUAACGCGUGAAGUAGACCGCCUGGGGAGUACGGUCGCAAGAUUAAAACUCAAAGGAAUUGACGGGGACCCGCACAAGCGGUGGAUGAUGUGGAUUAAUUCGAUGCAACGCGAAAAACCUUACCUACCCUUGACAUGGCAGGAACCUCGGAGAGAUCUGAGGGUGCUCGAAAGAGAACCUGCACACAGGUGCUGCAUGGCUGUCGUCAGCUCGUGUCGUGAGAUGUUGGGUUAAGUCCCGCAACGAGCGCAACCCUUGUCAUUAGUUGCUACGAAAGGGCACUCUAAUGAGACUGCCGGUGACAAACCGGAGGAAGGUGGGGAUGACGUCAAGUCCUCAUGGCCCUUAUGGGUAGGGCUUUCACACGUCAUACAAUGGUACAUACAGAGGGCCGCCAACCCGGCGAGGGGGAGCCUAAUCCCAGAAAGUGUAUCGUAGUCCGGAUCGUAGUCUGCAACUCGACUACG